rnacentral:rRNA from 1 species
UAGCGGAAAGUAGCUUGCUACUUUGCCGGCGAGCGGCGGACGGGUGAGUAAUGUCUGGGGAUCUGCCUGAUGGAGGGGGAUAACUACUGGAAACGGUAGCUAAUACCGCAUAACCUCGCAAGAGCAAAGUGGGGGACCUUCGGGCCUCACGCCAUCGGAUGAACCCAGAUGGGAUUAGCUAGUAGGUGGGGUAAUGGCUCACCUAGGCGACGAUCCCUAGCUGGUCUGAGAGGAUGACCAGCCACACUGGAACUGAGACACGGUCCAGACUCCUACGGGAGGCAGCAGUGGGGAAUAUUGCACAAUGGGCGCAAGCCUGAUGCAGCCAUGCCGCGUGUGUGAAGAAGGCCUUCGUGGAUCGCACUCCCCACACCCCCACCCCCGAAAUGU